rnacentral:rRNA from 1 species
GAUGAACGCUGGCGGCGUGCCUAAUACAUGCCAGUCGAGCGAACAGACGAGGAGCUUGCUCCUCUGAUGUUAGCGGCGGACGGGUGAGUAACACGUGGAUAACCUACCCAUAAGACUGGGAUAACUUCGGGAAACCGGAGCUAAUACCGGAUAACAUGUUGAACCGCAUGGUUCAACAGUGAAAGACGGUCUUGCUGUCACUUAUAGAUGGAUCCGCGCCGCAUUAGCUAGUUGGUAAGGUAACGGCUUACCAAGGCAACGAUGCGUAGCCGACCUGAGAGGGUGAUCGGCCACACUGGAACUGAGACACGGUCCAGACUCCUACGGGAGGCAGCAGUAGGGAAUCUUCCGCAAUGGGCGAAAGCCUGACGGAGCAACGCCGCGUGAGUGAAGAAGGUCUUCGGAUCGUAAAACUCUGUUAUUAGGGAAGAACAAAUGUGUAAGUAGCUAUGCACGUCUUGACGGUACCUAAUCAGAAAGCCACGGCUAACUACGUG